rnacentral:rRNA from 2 species
AGAGUUUGAUCAUGGCUCAGAUUGAACGCUGGCGGCAGGCCUAACACAUGCAAGUCGAGCGGUAGCACAGAGAGCUUGCUCUCGGGUGACGAGCGGCGGACGGGUGAGUAAUGUCUGGGAAACUGCCUGAUGGAGGGGGAUAACUACUGGAAACGGUAGCUAAUACCGCAUAAUGUCGCAAGACCAAAGUGGGGGACCUUCGGGCCUCAUGCCAUCAGAUGUGCCCAGAUGGGAUUAGCUAGUAGGUGGGGUAACGGCUCACCUAGGCGACGAUCCCUAGCUGGUCUGAGAGGAUGACCAGCCACACUGGAACUGAGACACGGUCCAGACUCCUACGGGAGGCAGCAGUGGGGAAUAUUGCACAAUGGGCGCAAGCCUGAUGCAGCCAUGCCGCGUGUGUGAAGAAGGCCUUCGGGUUGUAAAGCACUUUCAGCGGGGAGGAAGGCGUUAAGGUUAAUAACCUUGGCGAUUGACGUUACCCGCAGAAGAAGCACCGGCUAACUCCGUGCCAGCAGCCGCGGUAAUACGGAGGGUGCAAGCGUUAAUCGGAAUUACUGGGCGUAAAGCGCACGCAGGCGGUCUGUCAAGUCGGAUGUGAAAUCCCCGGGCUCAACCUGGGAACUGCAUUCGAAACUGGCAGGCUAGAGUCUUGUAGAGGGGGGUAGAAUUCCAGGUGUAGCGGUGAAAUGCGUAGAGAUCUGGAGGAAUACCGGUGGCGAAGGCGGCCCCCUGGACAAAGACUGACGCUCAGGUGCGAAAGCGUGGGGAGCAAACAGGAUUAGAUACCCUGGUAGUCCACGCCGUAAACGAUGUCGAUUUGGAGGUUGUGCCCUUGAGGCGUGGCUUCCGGAGCUAACGCGUUAAAUCGACCGCCUGGGGAGUACGGCCGCAAGGUUAAAACUCAAAUGAAUUGACGGGGGCCCGCACAAGCGGUGGAGCAUGUGGUUUAAUUCGAUGCAACGCGAAGAACCUUACCUGGUCUUGACAUCCACAGAACUUUCCAGAGAUGGAUUGGUGCCUUCGGGAACUGUGAGACAGGUGCUGCAUGGCUGUCGUCAGCUCGUGUUGUGAAAUGUUGGGUUAAGUCCCGCAACGAGCGCAACCCUUAUCCUUUGUUGCCAGCGGU